rnacentral:rRNA from 1 species
UACAGAGGCUACAAGCGUUGUUCGGAAUUACUGGGCGUAAAGGGCGCGUAGGCGGUUUUCCAAGUCAGAUGUGAAAGCCUGGGGCUUAACCCCAGAAGUGCAUUUGAAACUGGAGGGCUAGAGUGCAGUAGAGGAUGGCGGAAUUCCCAGUGGAGAGGUGAAAUUCGUAGAUAUUGGGAGGAACACCGGUGGCGAAGGCGGCCAUCUGGGCUGUAACUGACGCUGAGGCGCGAGAGCGUGGGUAGCAAACAGG